AAAAUGGCGAAAGCAAAAGUGACGAUGGAGGUUGGGAACGACGGCGUUGCGGUUAUCACAUUCGUCAAUCCGCCGGUGAAUGCUCUUGCUAUUCAAAUUUUCGCUGGUUUAAAGGAGAAAUGGAAUGAAGCAGCUAUGAGAAAUGAUGUCAAAGCUAUUGUUCUGACUGGAUAUGGUGGGCGGUUUUCUGGUGGUUUUGACAUCAAUGUUUUCGAAAAGGUUCAUAAAACAGAUGAUGUUUCUCUAUUGCCUGAUGUUUCUGUUGAUCUCGUGACGAACAUUAUGGAAGAUGGAAAGAAGCCUGCAGUGGCUGUUGUGGAAGGACUUUGUCUUGGAGGUGGCUUGGAAUUGGCAUUGGGAUGCCAUGCA
rnacentral:misc_RNA from 1 species